rnacentral:ncRNA from 2 species
UUUUGUUUGCAGGGGGACGUUAUCGCGUUGAGAAGGUAAAACCUGACCCUUUGAACCUGUUGGUUGAUACCAGCGUAGGGAGCAAAUGUCCUUUUUGU